rnacentral:misc_RNA from 1 species
CCGAGUUUACAACUCCCAAACCCCUGUGAACAUACCUAUAUGUUGCCUCGGCGGAUCAGCCCAGCGCCCCGUAAAACGGGACGGCCCGCCGCAGGAUCCACAAACUCUGUUUUUAUUGUAACUUCUGAGUAACAAAACAAAUAAAUCA